rnacentral:rRNA from 1 species
UACGAAGGGAGCUAGCGUUGUUCGGAAUUACUGGGCGUAAAGGGCGCGUAGGCGGGUUUCCAAGUCGGGGGUGAAAUUCCAGGGCUCAACCCUGGGACGGCCUUCGAUACUGGGAGCCUGGAGAUCGGGAGAGGUGAGUGGAAUUCCGAGUGUAGAGGUGAAAUUCGUAGAUAUUCGGAGGAACACCAGAAGCGAAGGCGGCUCACUGGCCCGAGACUGACGCUGAGGCGCGAAAGCGUGGGGAGCGAACAGG